UUGCGGACCGUUCUAUUAGAA
rnacentral:siRNA from 1 species